AUCCUUUUACGUUUUUUAUGUUUUUUAUAAUUUCUUAGUAUAGAUGACGAAGUUGAUUCCUUUGACAAGUCAUCUUCUUCCUCAAAUAACAUUAAUAUAUUAUCUUUACUGUUACCAUAAUAUAAAGGACAUAAAUCUACAUCGACUCCAUAUUAUUAUUAAUAAUAAUCGAUCUAAUUUAUUAUUAACAUUAGUUAAUAUUUCUUUAGAGUCAUGAUUUAAGUCUAAGUUUCUAAUAUCUCGCUAUAUUAUUUACUUUCUCUUCUACAGAACUGACCUUAUUAUAUAUUUUAGAAAAAUAAAAAGAAGUCAUAUCUACUAGACUAUUUAUACCCUUACUCAGAGAUGAAAUAUUAUUUUCAUUUCUAGAGUCUAUAUACAUAAUACGGUUACAAGUUUUAUCUUGAAAUUAACACUCGAUUUGUUCCAUAAUAUUUGUUUCUGGUACCUAAGACCGUCUAUUAUCUUAAUCGUCUUCACACAAAGCCUAACGUCCUCCCUGGACUCAAUGGCAACAAGAAGACAGAAUAACAGAUAUGUGGAUUUUGAAACAAACAGAAAUGUAAAUCAAAGACAAAAACUUACAAUGAAUAUUACGAUAUUAUUUCUCCAGAAAUUCGUUACUCCAGCACCUCUGAUACCAAAUGUUUCUUGCUAAUUGCUAUGGGUUUGGUAGAAAUUGGAUAUGGAACUUCAUCAUUGACAAAGAUUGAGUUAUUUAUAUACCAAGUCAUCUCAUUUGAA